UACGUAGGGGGCUAGCGUUGUCCGGAAUCAUUGGGCGUAAAGGGCGCGUAGGCGGUCGUGACAAGUCACUUGUGAAAUCUCCGGGCUUAACCCGGAAAGGUCAAGUGAUACUGUCGGACUAGAGUACAGAAGGGGCAACUGGAAUUCUCGGUGUAGCGGUGAAAUGCGUAGAUAUCGAGAGGAACACCUGCGGCGAAGGCGGGUUGCUGGGCUGAUACUGACGCUGAGGAGCGAAAGCAUGGGGAGCGAACAGG
rnacentral:rRNA from 1 species